CAUUGAUUCAGUUAGUCUUCAGCUUCAAACAGCAGAAACCACCUCUGGGUAACUUGAGGAAUUCUCUAAAAGAUAUGAUGCAGCUUGCAGACUCAAAGGGACAGUAGAAAAAACUAGACUCGGACCCCAGAGGAAGCAAACUUCAACAGUCAAAGUCUCAACAAACUUCAAAAGUCAAAGUCUCAACAGCUGGAACGAUCUGACAGCCACUCUCAGGCAAUAACAGUUCAGUUUCUCAAGAGGCAGGUCCAGGUGGUCUGGUAUUCCCAUUUCUUUCAGAAUUUUCCACUGUUGAGGCUGAAACUCCAAUACUUUGGCCACCUGAUGCGAAGAGCUGACUCAUUGGAAAAGACCCUGAUGCUGGGAAAGAUUGAGGGCAGGAGGAGAAGGGGACAACAGAGGAUGAGAUGGUUGGAUGGCAUCAUUGACUCGAUGGAUAUGGGUUUCGGUGGACUUUGGGAGUUGGUGAUAGACAGGGAGGCCCGGCAUGCUGCAGUUUAUGGGGUCGGAAAGAGUCGGACAUGACAGUGACUGUAUUGAACUAAACUGAUGGAUGAUUCACAUAAAAUAUUUUUCUAAAUAAAUGGAAAAGACUACUUAAAAGUGUAGUCAUUGUUGUUAAGGAUUCAUUGGAUCAGACUUUUAAAAAAAAAAAACUAUGAAAAAAUUCCUGAAAAGAUUGUUUCAAACUGGGUUCCAUGGUACAUUAAGAUGGUAAGAUGGUUGGGAUCAGAG
ensembl:lncRNA